UCUAUGGUACCUCAAAGGCAGCAGUCAUUGGACUUACCAAAUCCAUAGCUUCGGACUUCAUUGGGGAAGGAAUCAGAUGCAACUGUAUUUGUCCUGGCACUAUUGACACUCCUUCUCUGCAGGAGAGAAUCCAGGGCAGCCCUGAUCCAGAACAGGCGCUGAAAGACUUUAUGGCCAGGCAAAGGAUAGGUAGGUUGGGA